rnacentral:rRNA from 1 species
CUUGACAUCCAGAGAAUUUAGCAGAGAUGCUUUAGUGCCUUCGGGAACUCUGAGACAGGUGCUGCAUGGCUGUCGUCAGCUCGUGUUGUGAAAUGUUGGGUUAAGUCCGCAACGAGCGCAACCCUUAUCCUUUGUUGCCAGCACGUAAUGGUGGGAACUCAAAGGAGACUGCCGGUGAUAAACCGGAGGAAGGUGGGGAUGACGUCAAGUCAUCAUGGCCCUUACGAGUAGGGCUACACACGUGCUACAAUGGCGUAUACAAAGAGAAGCGACCUCGCGAGAGCAAGCGGACCUCAUAAAGUGCGUCGUAGUCCGGAUUGGAGUCUGCAACUCGACUCCAUGAAGUCGGAAUCGCUAGUAAUCGUAAAUCAGAAUGUUACGGUGAAUACGUUCCCGGGCCUUGUACACACCGCCCGUCACACCAUGGGAGUGGGUUGCAAAAGAAGUAGAUAGCUUAACCUUCGGGAGGGCGUUUACCACUUUGUGAUUCAUGACUGGGGUGAAGUCGUAACAAGGUAGGCGUAGUGCU